rnacentral:misc_RNA from 1 species
GAUGAAGAACGUAGCGAAAUGCGAUAAGUAAUGCGAAUUGCAGAAUUUCCGUGAAUCAUCGAAUCUUUGAACGCACAUUGCGCCCCUUGGUAUUCCGGGGGGCAUGCCUGUUCGAGCGUCAUUAUAACCCCUCAAGCUCAGCUUGGUGUUGGGGCCUGCCGACUGGCAGCCCUUAAAAUCAGUGGCGGCGCCAUCUGGCUCUAAGCGUAGUAAUUUCUCUCGCUAUAUAGUCCCGGUGGAUGCUUGCCAGCAACCCCCAACUUUCUAUGGUUGACCUCGGAUCAGGUAGGGAUACCCGCUGAACUUAAGCAUAUCAAUAAGCGGAGGA